CCUGGGCUCAGCAAGCCUCCUGCCUUGGCUUCCCAGAGUGCUAGGAUUUCAGGCGUGAGCCACCACGCCUGGCCAAUUGUAGAGUUUAAACCAUUUUUGGGGACGUCCGCUGCUGCUGGUUACUCAGCACUCCAGGUAUUUUUCUCUGAAGGAAAGCUGUAUCCUUUUAUGCUUCAAGAAUGGCUCUCCCUAUCAUCGUAAAGUGGGGUGGACAGGAAUAUUCAAUGACCACACUUUCAGAAGAUGAUACUGUGCUAGAUCUCAAUUUCUUAAGACCCUUAACGGGAGUGCUGCCAGAACGCCAGAAGUUACUUGGACUCAAAGUUCAAGGCAAACCUGCAGAAAAUGAUGUUAAGCUUGGAGCUGUCAAAUUGAAACCAAAUACUAAAAUCAUAAUGAUGGGAACUCAUGAGGAGAGCUUGGAAGAUGUCUUAGGUCCACCCCCUGACAGUGAUGAUGUUGUUAACGACUUUGAUAUUGAAGACGAAGUAGUUGAAGCAGAAAAUAGGGAAGAGAGCCUACUGAAAAUUUCUCGCAGAGUAAAAGAGUACAAAGUGGACAUUUUGAAUCCUCCCAGGGAAGGGAAAAAGCCUUUGGUACUAGAUGUUGAUUAUACAUUAUUUGACCACAGGUCUUGUGCAGAGACUGGGGUAGAAUUAAUGCAGCCAUAUCUUCAUGAAUUCCUAGCAUCUGCAUAGGAAGAUUAUGACAUUGUUAUUUGGUCUGCAACAAAUAUGAAGUGGAUUGAAGCUAAAAUGAAAGAGCUGGGAGUGAGCACAAAUGCAAAUUAUAAGAUUACCUUCAUGUUGGACAGUGCUGCUAUGAUAACAGUGCAUACCCCAAGGAGAGGAUUAAUAGAUGUCAAACCUCUUGGUGUUCUAUGGGGAAAGUUUUCGGAGUUUUACAGCAAAAAACCCACCAUUAUGUUUGAUGAUAUAGGAAGAAAUUUUCUAAUGAACCCGCAGAAUGGAUUAAAGAUAAGACCUUUUAUGAAAGCACACUUAAAUCGAGAUAAAGACAAAGAACUUUUAAAAUUAACUCAGUGCCUCAAGGAAAUAGCAAAAUUAGAUGACUUUUUGGAGCUAAAUCACAAAUAUUGGGAAAGGUAUCUCUCAAAGAAGCCAGGACAGUAGUUACAGUUGUAAUGGCAGUUAUUGAAGAUACUUGAGAUCCAUGAACUUCUUGCUUUUAUGCUCGAGAUCAUUAUUCUAGUGCUGGACACUGAAGCAAAUAUCAGACUGCUUAUACUUGGUCUUCCAGUGUUUUGUAAAUGUAAUUUUAUAUUUUCUGAAGAUCAUAGCAAUAUGCUAAAAAAAAUUUUUCCCCCAAUAUGAAUAUUCUGUUACUCUUCGAAAAUAUUUUCUCCAGCAUUGAUUACUGAGGGCUUUUUUUUUCCACACACAUAAAAAAAAAGUGGAAAAAAUAUAUACUCAACAAUGCCAUUUUGUGACUUUGGAAACAAGUUAUGUUUUUGUCUCAUGUUAUUGUUCGACUAAAUCUGAGACCAAACCCAUCUUGAAACUAAUGCUUUUCCUUUUAAAACCAAAAAAAAAAUUUUUUUUUUCAAAUAAAGAACCUAGUUUGUUACGCUUAAAAAAAUAAAUAAAUAAAACAAACCAUUUUUUGCUUAACAUCAUUACUGAGAAGGAAGGACUCAUUUCUGCUCUUUAGUUAUUUGUUUUCUUUAUGUCUGAUAUGUAUCUUGUUCCUCAAUUCUUCCAUUACGGCCUAUAUAUAAAAAUAUAUAUAUUUAGUUGUUUUCUUGUUUUCUUGGUGUGCACUGUUUUGAUUUCCCUCUUCUUUGUACCUUGUGUGACCAUUUACAUGAAUCUUAAGGACAUGUGUAUGAUAUGGAGUUGACAAGGGGAGACUUGUGAUGGUUAAUUGUAUGUGACAACUUGGUUAGGCCACCAUACCCAGAUACUUGGUCAAACAUUAUUCUAGGCCUUUCUGUGGAGAUAUUAUUUAGAAAGAUUAAUAUUUAAAUCAUAGACUUUGAAUACAGCAGAAUAUCCCCAUAAUGUAAGUAGACUUCAUUGGUUGAAAGACAUUUUUAUUCAAUACUUUAAAUACAUCACUCACUGUAUCAUGGCCAGUAUGGUUUGUGAUGAGAAAUCAGUUGAUAACCUCAUAGAGGUUCCCUAGUACAUACCAAGUGGGCUACUGGCUGCUUUCAAGAUUUUCUGUUUGUGUUUGGCUUUUGUCCAUUUGACUUUAAUGUGUCUUGGUAUGAUUUUCUUUGAAUUUAGCCUGCUUAAAGAUUGUUUAUCUUCUUGGAUGUGUAGACAAGUCUUUUUCAAAAGUCUUGUGCCUCUUUGUUAAAUCUAUUCCUAAAUGUUCUAUUCUUUUUGACCCACAGUGAAUGAAAUUGUUUUCUUAAUUUCAUUUUUGGACUGUUCUUUGCUACUGAAAGACUUUUACACUGAAAAUUAUAAAACAUUGCUGAAAGAAAUGAAAAAAAAAAAACCUAAAUAAACAGAGAGACACUAUGUUUAUGGACUGGAAGACUUAAGAGUGUGACGAUGACAAAUUAACCAAAGCGAUAUACAGAUGUAAUUCUUAUCAAAAUCCUAACAGUGUUAUUUCAAAAAUGGAAAAACCCAUCCCCAAAAUCAUACGAAAUUUAAAACAAACGAAAUCAACCAAAACAAUCUUGUAAAAGAAAACCAAAGUUGGGGGACUCACACUAUCCAAUUUCAAAAAUGCUUCUCACUUCUGGGGUAGCUUUGGCUUCCAUUUAUUUGGGUCAUUCUUUGACUUUCUAGAAGUAGGACCCAUGUUUUCCUUCCAUUUUCCUUCCAUGACUGAUGACAUGAGCUUUAAUUUUGAAGGCUUUUCCCAUUAUCAUAUUACUUCUGCUCCUGUUUAUAUCUUCCACUAACUGAGAGCUCACUGAGGACAGGUAUUGGGACGUCCUUGUGUGAGUUUCCAGGGUGUACGAUGGUGCUGUCCAAUGUUGGUAGUCAGUAGACCCAUGUGACUGUCCAUCACUUGAAAUAUGCAGCUGUACACUGAGACAUGCAAAGAGUGAGAAAUGCACACUAUGAUUUGAAACAUACUAAAAAAGUGUAAAAUAUCUCCAUGUUUUACGCUGAUUAUGUACUUAAGUGAUAUUAGUUUGGGUAUAUGAAGUUAAAAUGCAUUAUUAAAAUGAAUUCACCUCUUUCACUUUUUUGAUGUGGUGAGUAUGAAUUCAAAUUUAAUUUGUGGCUUGUAUUAUAUUUCUGUUAGCAUUGCUGAUCUAAGGUAUGUAAUAAAUGCAGAACUGAUGAACUGACCAAGCCAGGUACAGUGGAUUUCCCUGUUUGGGUUCCACUGAUGGCUGAAAAGGUACUCCAGCCUCUAAGAAUCCUGUGAAGAUUCAUUUACCAGCUUUUUGUCUCCUCUCCCAGGAACCCAUAUGUC